AAUAAAAGCUUUGGCACUUUACAAUAACUGCAAUAAAUGCAGCCUAUUAAAUGAAUUAUAAACAUUCAUGUAGAUUCUGAUAAUGUACAUAUCUUUGUCAAAAAUGUUUGAUAAGAAACACAUUUAGACAACAUGUGUGCGUAGCGCAGUACGUGUGAUGUCACGACGUCAUCAGCAAAUUUGCGCCCGGUGCACAUGCGCAUUGCGAGUUUGCGCAGACAGGUGUCUACGGUCGGAGUGGAAUGAAGAAGUUGCAUCUGAUAAUUCUUCCAUUGUGUAGCAGCAACUGCAGCUGACAUGGAAUGAGGAUUAUCGGAUUCACCUCUCACUGAUCAUCCAAGGUGAAUUGAUGACCUCAAGCAAAUGGAUGUUGUCAUCUGAAGAGAAGGUUGUCCUGGGCCCAUGUUUAGAGGCAUUUGGGGCAUAUUUGAAACAUAUCACAAUCAAGCUGCAUGCACACUUGAGUUUAUUCAGAGAUA